rnacentral:rRNA from 1 species
UACGGGGGGUGCAAGCGUUGUCCGGAAUCAUUGGGCGUAAAGCGUUCGUAGGCGGUAUGUCAAGUCUGAUGUUAAAGCCCGGGGCUCAACUCCGGUUCGGCAUUGGAUACUGGCAAACUAGAAUGUGGUAGAGGUAAAGGGAAUUCCUGGUGUAGCGGUGAAAUGCGUAGAUAUUAGGAGGAACACCAGUGGCGAAGGCGGCUUUCUGGACUGUAACUGACACUGAGGUACGAAAGCGUGGGGAGCAAACAGG